GUGGGGAAUAUUGGACAAUGGGCGAAAGCCUGAUCCAGCCAUGCCGCGUGUGUGAAGAAGGUCUUCGGAUUGUAAAGCACUUUAAGUUGGGAGGAAGGGCAGUAAGUUAAUACCUUGCUGUUUUGACGUUACCGACAGAAUAAGCACCGGCUAACUUCGUGCCAGCAGCCGCGGUAAUACGAAGGGUGCAAGCGUUAAUCGGAAUUACUGGGCGUAAAGCGCGCGUAGGUGGUUUUGGAAGUUGGAGGUGAAAUCCCCGGGCUCAACCUGGGAACUGCCUCCAAAACUGCAUGACUAGAGUACGGUAGAGGGUAGUGGAAUUUCCUGUGUAGCGGUGAAAUGCGUAGAUAUAGGAAGGAACACCAGUGGCGAAGGCGACUACCUGGACUGAUACUGACACUGAGGUGCGAAAGCGUGGGGAGCAAACAGGAUUAGAUACCCGAGUAGUCC
rnacentral:rRNA from 1 species